UACGAAGGGGGAUAGCGUUGUUCGGAAUUACUGGGCGUAAAGCGCACGUAGGCGGAUUGACAAGUCAGGGGUGAAAUCCCGGAGCUCAACUCCGGAACUGCCUUUGAUACUGCCUGUCUAGAGUCCGGAAGAGGUGGGUGGAAUUCCUAGUGUAGAGGUGAAAUUCGCAGAUAUUAGGAAGAACACCAGUGGCGAAGGCGGCCCACUGGUCCGGAACUGACGCUGAGGUGCGAAAGCGUGGGGAGCAAACAGG
rnacentral:rRNA from 1 species